rnacentral:lncRNA from 1 species
UCUCUGGGGAGACUUCUUUCUUACAGAAAACAAUUCUGGGACAAAACAAAUUUUGUUUUCUGGCAAAACUGGGGGAAAAAAAUCUAGGUUUGGUAGAAUUAUGAAGUUGUGAAAGAUUCUGUGGUUAUGCUUUGAAGUUUAAUGUAAGACUUUGGGAGGAAGUGAAAUAGUUUUCAUGGCUGAAAAACACUAUUUCUUGUAAGAGUAAAAAGAUGUUCUGUUGUGGGAACUUAUUUUUUAGAGGGAAAAGAGAAACACUUUUGCCAAGUUUACGAAAAGACGUAUCCAUUGGUGGAGAUGUAAAAAUAAAUUGUCACAGCUGUGAAGAAAUAUAUGGUACUUGUGUUCUGUGAUGAGGAAAGUUGGGUCAUAAUUACCAUUGAAAUGUUCCCAUAUUAUGUGGAGGAGUCUGAAAAAUUCCACUUUAUCUUCCUAACCUCCAGUACAUGAGGCCUCUAUGUACUGGAUACUCUAUGUACUGAGGGAGGACUGGGGACAAGGGGUUGGCACACAGGUGAAGUCAGCUGGAUCCUCAUCUAGGUGUAAAGCAAUAGCAAGUUAAUGAGUACGACGGCAGUCAAAGACAGCCCCCAGCCCCAUUCCCUCAUGCAAUUACCCUUGACCCAGGAUGUUCAGCUCUAUCACUGACCUCAGUUAGCUUGUUCUGUAUUAGACGCGAAGGUCUCUAAAGGCUAGCUACAAAGUGCCAUUUCCGGAGUAUAAUCAAAUAUCAGCAUUACAUUGUACCAUUUCAUCUCUGCUGAAGUUCUUGAGUUUAAAGAAGUUACUUCUGAUGCCUUCAAGUCUCAAUAUGUGGAUGGAUGCCACAUAUUUAGGAAAAAUAUAUUGAUUAAUACUUUAGUGGCUUUGAUAUAAAAUUUGAGAAAAACUCUUUAGAAAGUAAGAAUUUCAUUUCUGUAUAAAUGUUCAUGAACCCUAAAUAUUUUUGGAAAAUCAACUUGAUUUUCCAGAUAAAUUUUUGAAUUCCUCAAGGGACAAAGGGACUAUUUUUUAUUUUCUUUUAAUUUCCUGUUAAUUUAUUCAAGCAAUAUAUAUGCAUAUAAAAAUCCCUGUUUACCACUUUUAUUUUAUUUCCUUUCUUGAGAGAUAAGCAGUGUUAUCAGUUUGGCACAUAAACUUCCAAGUCUUUUAGCAUACAUGUCACCAAUAAGAUUACCAUUCAAUUCUUUCUUUUCAUCUGAGAUCUGUCCAGGACAUUCAACCUAAAAUCUUUAUUAUGCACUCAGUAUUUUCCAACAUAAAACCAGUACUCUUGAAGUAAAGCAAUGAUAUCUCAGAUUCUUUCAUAUCAGAUACCUAAACAAAGUUAAAAACUGGAGGAAAAGGAGGGUCAAGGCCGGUUAUUAA